rnacentral:rRNA from 1 species
GACAGAGGGUGCAAACGUUGCUCGGAAUUACUGGGCGUAAAGGGCGUGUAGGCGGGAAGGCAAGUCGGGCGUGAAAGCCCCAGGCUCAACCUGGGAACUGCACUCGAAACUGCCUUUCUUGAGUGCCGGAGAGGAAAGCGGAAUUCCUGGUGGUAGAGGUGAAAUUCGUAGAUAUCAGGAGGAACACCAGUGGCGAAGGCGGCUUUCUGGACGGUAACUGACG